rnacentral:rRNA from 1 species
CGGACGGGUGAGUAACGCGUGGGCAACCUGCCCCAUAGAGGGGGACAACAGCUGGAAACGGCUGCUAAUACCGCAUAACAAGGAGAGAGCGCAUGUUCUUUUCUUCAAAGAUUUACCGCUAUGGGAUGGACCCGCGUCUGAUUAGCUGGUUGGUGAGGUAACGGCUCACCAAGGCGACGAUCAGUAGCCGGCUUGAGAGAGUGGACGGCCACAUUGGGACUGAGACACGGCCCAGACUCCUACGGAAGGCAGCAG